rnacentral:rRNA from 1 species
UACGCCUACGGGGCGCAGCAGUGGGGAAUAUUGCACAAUGGGGGAAACCCUGAUGCAGCAACGCCGCGUGAGUGAAGAAGUCAUUCGUGAUGUAAAGCUCUAUCAGCAGGGAAGAAAAUGACGGUACCUGAGUAAGAAGCCUCGGCUAACUACGUGCCAGCAGCCGCGGUAAUACGUAUGGUGCAAGCGUUAUCCGGAUUUACUGGGUGUAAAGGGAGCGCAGGCGGCGCGUUAAGCCUGGUGUGAAAGCCCGCGGCCCAACCGCGGGACUGCAUUGGGAACUGGCGCGCGGGUAU